ensembl:lncRNA novel transcript
AUUUCAGGCUCUGCUGUGUCAAGUCGGGGAGCGGCUCUUUGCUCAGCUUAGAGAACUGGAAGAGGCCGCAACCUUCUGCCUGCUGGAGGCUGGAGGAUGGAUGGAGCCUGGAGCCUGGGACACUACCUUGCUGUGGUUGGUGGUGGCGACAGAGCAGUAAGAGGGUGGCCGGCAGCAGGAGCUUGUCCUGCUGGGCUGGAGGACUAGGAGAAGGAAGAGGCACCACCACAUGCUGGAGGCUGAAGCCUGGAGUCUGUGCCACCAUGGCUCGCCUCGCUGUGGUUGGUGGUGACGCUGGAGACUGCAGCUGGGCCACAGUGGUAGAAAUGUGAUGGGGUAGGUUUUUGGGGAACAGGUGGCGUUUGAUUGUAAGAGUAAGUUCCUUAGAGGUUGGAAACACUCUCUUUACGGAAUCUGCAAAUGGACAUUUCAGAGCCUAUUGAGGCCUACACUGAAAAACCAAAUAUCCUGCAAUAAAAACUACAAAUAAGCUACCUGUGAAAAUGUUUUGUGAGGUUUGGAUUCAUCUCACAGAUUUAACCCUUUGUUUUGAUUCAGCAGGUUGGAAAUACUCUUGUUGUAGAAUCUAUGAAGGGACAUUUCAGAGCUCAUUGAGGCCUAUAGAGAAAAAUCAAAUAUCCUGCGAUAAAAACUGUAAAGAAGCUACCUCUGAAAAUACUUUGUGAUGUGUGAUUUUAUCUCAGAAGUUGAACUUUUCAUUUGAUUCUGCAGGUUGGAAACUCUUUUUUUGUAGAAUCUACAAGGAGACAUUUCAUAGCCCAUUGAGGCCUAUAGUGAAAAAUCGAAUAUCCCUUGAUAAAGACUAGAAACAACCUAUCUGUAAAAAUGCUUUGUGAUGUGUAGAUUCAUUUUACAAAUUUAAACCUUUGUUUUGCUUCAUCAGGUUGGAAACUCUUUGAAUCUACAAAGGGACAAUUCAGGGCCCAUUGAGGCCUUUAGUGAAAAACCAAUUACCCUCAGUAAAAACUAGAUAUAAGCUAUGGGUGAAAAUGCUUUGUGAUGUGUGGAUUCAUCUCACAAGUUAAACCUUUGUUUUGAUUCAGCAGGUUGGAAACACUCUUUUAAUAGAGUUUAUGAGGGAAAAUUUCAGAGCCCAUUGAAGCCUCUUAAUAAAAACUGAUAAGAAAUAGAAACAA